CAACAAAUGGAAGACUAGUCUAAUCAUCAGAAUAAAAAGAAACAAACCGACGGCUAAAAUAAAAGCACAAGGUCCUAAACUAAUUAAACAAAUAAAUAAUCUUGAAAUCCCCAUCCGUUAUGAAUAACCUACCUCCAACUAUGCCUUUUACGCAAAGAACUUUUCAUUGUCAUUGGAGAAAAGGCCUGAGAGUUUUUAGUAGGGGCGCUCUCAAUUUCCCCCUUUUCCAUUUUACCUUUCAUUGUUUCAGUCGGGUUCCUGUGGGCGAUCCAGUUUCCUCUGUCGAUUGGUGUAGCCAGGGACCUCUCCAAACAGGUAAAUCAUCUCUAUUUCUUUCAAACUUGUGUAGCAAUGAUGUGGGCUAAACGAUUAGCCACUCUUGGAGCAUAACGAAAUGUAAUGGCCUAAAACUUGCUUUUUUCUCUUCAAAUAUUUUGAAUAUGCACACUAACUUGCGAUUUGUCCACCGAUUGUGCCAUGCAUUUGGUGAUGAUGGCCUUGGAGUCGCCCUCAAUAACAACCUUUGUGUAGCCCAUCUCUAAUCCUAUGAGGACAGCGUCGUAGCAAGCAAUCGUCUCUGCGUCAAAAGUCGUGCCUACCGCUGGAUGUAGGACACCCAACGAAAGCAUGCUACAGAGUCUCAGAGCAAGCUUUACAUCUAGGACACUUAUCAUCUCGGGCCACUCUUCGCUGAUACAAAUUGGUCAUCAUGGGAAUAAAGUUUUGUGUUACCCUCCAUAGCAUAAUUUUAAUUUUAUUUGGUAUUUGGAGUGCCCAUAGUUGUUUGCAAAAUAGUUUGGUUGUAUUUUGAGUAGCCGUAGAGUCUGAUGUAUGAUCUUGAGUCUAUAAAAGUUGAUACGCACUACGAACAGUGAACUUACCCAA